rfam:Felis catus isolate Cinnamon breed Abyssinian chromosome C2, whole genome shotgun sequence.
GCCUGGGUGGCUCAGUCGGUUGAGCGUCUGACUUCAGCUCAGGUCAUGAUCUCACGGUCUGUGGGUUCUAGCCCCGCGUCUGGCU